AAAACCAAGCAAUCUAACACAAUGAAGUUAUNUAUAUGAAUUAGGGGACAUAGGUGCAGAUGAAAAUUUUGAGUGAUUUAUGUGAUUCCCUAUUUUUCAAAUUUAAAUGUAAUUAUCGAUUCCAUUUUUCAACUUUUUGGAAUUGGUGGUUCACUUUCCAAUAUUAAAAAGUAUAAAAUUGCUACUGUACAGGUUAAAUGUUGCUUCCAUUGUGUAUUUGUAAUUCCCUAUUGUAGAAGUAUGUGAUUCCCUAUUAUGCAUUUUUUAGUAAAUUGCCACUAAAUUUUUGUGUUGCUUAAUUUGAAGCAAGCAUUAGGACAUUUUGAGUUCAUUCAUUCGUCAACAUCUUAUAUUUUACUCGUGCAUGUAAAGAAAUCCUAUGCUGUAACUUUCUGAUAGUAUUAGAUUAGACUGCAUGAUCUGGAAUUCAUGAGCGAGUAGUUUAUUUACUUAUAUGAGAAAUGCUGCUAUGAAGUGGAUACCAAUGUGAAAGUCCCAUUGUUAUCCACAUAAAUAAACGUCCAUGUUUAUGGAUGGCGCAUAUUCCUGUGUAAGAUUGGCAUGCUAUAUUGCUGUGCAGUAUAGGGAGUUUACUUAUUAUUCAUUAAGAGUUGAAUUUGUGAGUAAAACGGAUAAGAUUUAUGCAUUGGAGUUUAUUUUGUCACUGGGAUGCUUAUACCAUUGUUAUCCUUGCAGUUCUAUUGGCAUUAUGUGCAGUGUGAAGUGAAGAGGAGCUGAUCCUUUCUUCGUUAGAUUUAUGGGGUCAGAGAAAUGCUAAGAAUUAUGUAUGAUGCCACCAAGCAUGUAUAGGUGUUUUUAUUUUAUUUUAUUUUUAUUUUUGUAUCAUCUUAGCAAAUAAUAGUUCAUAAAUGUAAAUGGGGGUUAAGGAAUGGAGUGCAAAUUCACUAUUUUGGAAUUGCUAGAAAAUAUCUUGGCUAUGUCUGUGCAUCAUACGAAUGGGUGAAUUGCAUAUGUGCCACUUCCCCUAACAAUGUAUCUAAGCUGACUUUUACAUAAUGCAGAUGUAAUAAAGCACCUAUGGGUAGUAUUUAUUCUCUUCUUGUUUUUCUUCAUGAGAUUUCAUUUAUUCUUGAAUUGCAGACUGCCUAUGGAUGGCCCUGAUCUAGUCUAGUCAUGUUUCAUAUGAGAUUGACGAAUAACACGAUACAAUGUGAUGAUUGAUUUGUUCUUCAGAUGAAAUGCUUGUUAUGGUUGCAAAAUACC
rnacentral:lncRNA from 1 species